AGAGGCUGAAGAAAUUAAGAUAAUCAAAGAGAAAAGAAAACACAACUUAAAACUAGGAAAGCUUACUUCGUAAUCACCUUUAACAUCAGGUACAUUUAAUCAUGGGCUUCUGUUAAAAAUUUUGGGUUGUAUCUGCACCGAACAAAAACUUAUUACAGGUUAUGUGGAUACGUGGUAGAUACACAUUGUUCGCUGCCAUAGAAU